AUUUUACUACAUAAAUAAAAGUUAAUAUAUAGUAACGUUAAAAUAUUUUUCAUUAUUUAUCAACUAUACAUUGUUGAAACUGAAUGUCUAGCGAUCGAUAUAUCGAUUACCCUACAAGUUUUUAACGAUGAGAAUACUCUUCAUGGCUGGCACCAAUUAUUUGAGAGAAUUGAAAAAAAGGCAGAAAUUCACAAAGAAAGAAGUGAAACGAUUAAAUAAUGAGUUCAACGUUAUAAUCUUGAGAAUUUCAUGACCAGAUGUUCUUGAGCAUCGGAGAAAUGUAGGUUGUUUUAC